CAGUAAAGGGAUCGAGCAUCCUCAGCUACACUAGUUGGAGGGCUAUGCUGGACAUUCUGAGGAGUGACUUGGCUUUAAGUCAUCUAAGCUUUUGCCUGACCAGCCUCGGGCUUCAGGCUGGCUUCAAAUUCUUAACAAUCCUUCAACUUCUGUGACCUGAGUUCUGGGAUUACAGAUCUGCUCAUCUCUACUGGUUGGUUCCACGCUCACUUACCAGGUGAUCAUAUGAUUUCUUUGAGUGAAUCAACUUCUAAGUUUCACUUGGAGCUAUAGACCUUGGAGAAAUCGAGUGGUCACUGUGCCCUCCCAGAAGAAGAAAACAUCUUGCUGCUGCCAGAGAUUCACCUUGGCUGAUUGCCCAGACUACGUGCAGAAUCCCACUUGCUCACUUCUUCCCCUGCCUGUAUAAGUUCCCUGAGAAAAUACAGUUUACUAGGUCUUGAGCA